GUGAAAUCAAUAAUAUUCCAUACAUAUAUUCAACUGUUAACAAGAAUACUGAUGUAACUCAAAUUCAGAGUCAUUAUGCUGAUCUGGCAAUAGACACUAAUAGACGUCAUUAUGCUCCACCCACCCAUCAACCAUCAGUAUUGUACUCAUCAAUAAAACCAGUUAAUAAUAAGAGGAAAUGAGACAUACAUCAUACAAAGGAAUAGCUGCUAUGAAGUGACUAUAUUGUUAUUAUAUUGCACUGAUAUGAAUAUAGUAUUAUUUAUGAUUAUUGAUGUGUUAGUGUGUAACUGGUUUAAACUGUCAUUUAUUUGUAUUAACUUGUUCACAUAGUUAUUAUCCAAUAGAAUAUAAUAGAAUGACA
rnacentral:lncRNA from 1 species